rnacentral:lncRNA from 1 species
GGCAUGACUAACCAUUCGUACAAUCCAUAUUUAGUUUUAAAAGCCGUUUUCUAUUCCUCACCCUCCCUCAUGAGAAUUUGAUCACUUUUAAGAUCAAUUUUACUGAAAAUACAUGCACCAUGUAACUCAUUUAGCAUAUCAUCUAGCCUAAGAAUUUGGUGACGAUACUUUAUCGUAAUGUUGUGGAUAGCUCUACAAUCUACGCACAUUCUUCAAGUUCCAUCUUUCUUUGGUACCAGUAACACAGGUACUGUACAUGGACUCAUGCUUUCCCGUACAUAUCCUUUGCUCAUCAAUUCCUCAACUUGCAUCUGAAACUCCUUUGUCUCCUCUGGAUUAUUUCGAUAAGCCGGUCGAUUCGGAAUGACAGCGCCAGGUAUGAAAUCAAUUUGAUACUCAAUUCCUCUAAUGGAUGGUAGCCCACUAGACACGUCCUCCGAAAACACGUCUUCAAAUUCCUGCAAUAAAGAAAUAGCCAAACUAGGGAGGGAUGUGUUAUGUUCCUCAAAGUUGAGGAGUGAUUCCUUGUAAACCAAUAGUGUCUUUUGUUGCCUCUCAACUAUUGCCUUUUUUAAUUCACUCCCUCUUACAAAGAAAUUUUGUUUCGACUUUUCUCUCCUCUCGAAAGACUCUCUUUCUUUUCUCUCAUGUGGCUCCACUCUCUUUUUCUCUCUAUUAGCCACCUCACUAUUUUCUCUCUUUUUUCCCAACUCCCUCACUCUUGCUUCUUCUUCAUUUUUCAAUUGAAUUUGAUCCUCAUAUACUUGUGUCGGUAUUAAUGGCGCAAGAGUGAUAGACCUCCCAUUUUUCACAAAGCUAUACUUAUUUCUAUACCCAUCAUGCAUUGCUUUCCUAUCGUAUUGUCAUGGUCUCCCAAACAAGAUAUGCCCCACAUGCAUAGGUACAACAUCGCACAUUACCUCAUCAUGAUAUCCACCAAUGGAAAAAUUAAUCAACGCCCUUUUUGUCACCUUAACUUCUCCACAUUCAUUUAGCCAUUGUAAUUUAUAAGGCCUAGGAUGUUUUAAUAGUG